rnacentral:rRNA from 1 species
GUAACGGCGAGUGAACAGGGAAGAGCCCAAGACCGAAUCACACCUGCGGCACUUGUGUUUAGUAGGUGGGAAUUGUGGUUUGUGAAAUAUAGCCAGAAUUGCAACUAGCGUUAAGUCCCCUGGAACGGGGCAUCAGAGAGGGUGAGAGUCCCGUCUGUUCGUUGGUAUGUGGUUCGUACGGCUAUGUUUCUUGCGAGUCGUGUUCCUUGGAAGUGGAGCGCAAAUGGGUGGUACAUUUCAUCCAAGGCUAAAUAUUGCUCCGAGACCGAUAGCGAACAAGUACCGUGAGGGAAAGGUGAAAAGGACUUUGAAAAGAGAGUUAAACAGUGCCUGAAAUCGCUAAGGUGGAAGCGAAUAGGGCCUACUCGUUCUGCUUGGGGUUCGCCUCAGGUUAGAAGUCGGUAUCAGUUCUGUACACGGUAAAGAGUGUGAUGCGUUAGUCAGGUUCGGUAGCUUGCUACUGAAACGGUGGUGCGCGUCAAUACUUAUGCCGGUGGUGCGGACUGAGGAACUGCGCUUGUUGAUUUACUUGGGGUUCUUCGUUGGGUCUUUCGGGGCACUGCGUCCUCUAAGCGUUGGCAAGUUGGGGAUAUCGACGAUUUGAGUGGCCAUAUUCGACCCGUCUUGAAACACGGACCAAGGAGUCUAACGUGUGCGCGAGUAUGGGGGUGUCUAAACCCUCGGGCGUAAUGAAAGUAAGAGUUUUCUACGUGUUGGUGGUGCUUCUUCGGGAGUACUUCUCCAAUAGCCGACCUUGAUCCACGGUGAUAGGUUUGAGUCCGAGCGUACCCGUUAGGACCCGAAAGGUGGUGAACUAUGCCUGAGUAGGGUGAAGCCAGGGGAAACUCUGGUGGAGGCUCGUAGCGAUACUGACGUGCAAAUCGUUCGUCGAAC